UGUCGUAACAAGGUUUCCGUAGGUGAACCUGCGGAAGGAUCAUUACGGUGCAUCCGACCCACACGUGAACUGUUGAAAGGUGACAUGGUGUUUGGUUUCACGAUCAAAACCGGUCACCGCCCCUUCUUCCACACACACGAACAAUCGAGCUGAAGCGAUGGGGUAGCGGGCUUUUACAGACCGCUGCCUUUAACCGUGACAACUCUCAACAACGGAUGUCUUGGCUCUCGCAACGAUGAAGAACGCAGCGAAAUGCGAUACGUAGUGUGAUUUGCACUGUACGUGAACCAUCGAAUCUUUGAACGCAUAUUGCACUCGAGGCUUCGGCCAAGAGUAUGCCUGCCUGAGCGUCAGUGUACCCUCACCCCAAUUAAUUUUGGGAUGGAAAUGGACGUCCGAUCGGAACCUGCGAAGGUUUCGAUGGGUCGGCUGAAAGGCAGUCGCGGUGCGACCGAUCGCACGAUCAGCGUGGUAGACCUAUUCUUAGGACGGAUCGCUCGGUCAGAUCGGUAACACUUCGAUCCGAAUACUGGUGCGUGUCUCGACUCCGCGGGCCCUCGCGGCUGGUGGAAUAAGAGCCGUGCCAUCUCACCUUUUGACCUCAGUUCAGACAAGGCUACCCGCCGAAUUUAAGCAUAUUACUAAGCGGAGGAAAAGAAAAUAACAAUGAUUCCCCUAGUAACGGCGAGCGAACCGGGAAGAGCCCAACUUGAAAAUCUGGAGGCUUGUCCUUCCGAAUUGUAGUCUAGAGAAGUGCCAUCUGCGGCUGGCUGGUCGAAAGUUCCCUGGAAAGGGACGUCAGAGAGGGUGAGAGCCCCGUCACGAUCGGUUAAGUCGCUCCACGAUGCGCUUUCGAGGAGUCGGGUUGUUUGGGAAUGCAGCCCUAAGCGGGAGGUAAAUUCCUUCUAAGGCUAAAUAUUGGCGAGAGACCGAUAGCGAACAAGUACCGCGAGGGAAAGAUGAAAAGACCUUUGAAAAGAGAGUUAAAAAGUACCUGAAAUUGUUGAGGGGGAAGCGAUUGAAACCAGCGGGUGCUCCUCGGGUAGGGUCAAACCACACGCCGAGGGCUGGUCAACGUGGGUUAGUCGGGCGGGAUAUUACGCUUGAUUGACCGAGGACUCGACGUUGGCGGAAUGGUUUCAAUCGGCCCGUCUAGAAACACGGACCAAGGAGUCUAACAUGUGUGCGAGCCGGUGGGUGACAAACCCACGAGGCGCAAGUAACCUGACUGAGCAAAUUCGACCGACCAUGAUCUUCUGUGAAAGGUUUGAGUGCGAGCAUACAUGCUGGGACCCGAAAGAUGGUGAACUAUGCGUGA
rnacentral:rRNA from 1 species